rnacentral:rRNA from 1 species
GACGAACGCUGGCGGCGUGCCUAAUACCUGCAAGUAGAACGAGUUGCGAACGGGUGAGUAACGCGUGGUAACCUGCCUCAUAGCGGGGGAUAACUAUUGGAACCGAUAGCUAAUACCGAAUACUGUGAGAUGGACCUGCGUUGUAUUCGCUAGUUGGUGAGGUAACGGGUGACCUAGGCGACGAUCCCUAGCUGGUCUGAGAGGACGACCAGCAACACUGGAACUUAGACACGGUCCAGACGCCUACGGGAGGCAGCAGUGGGGAAUAUGGCACAAUGGGCGCAAGCCGGAUGCAGCCAUGCCGCGUGUAUGAAGAAGGCCUUCGGGUGGUAAAGUACUUUCAGCGAGGAGGCGUUACUCGCAGAAGAAGCACCGGCUAACUCCGUGCCAGCAGCCGCGGUAAUUC